rnacentral:rRNA from 1 species
UCCUGCCAGUAGUAUAUGCUUGUCUAAAAGAUUAAGCCAUGCAAGUCUAAGUAUAAGCAAUUAUAUGGUGAAACUGCAGAUAGCUCAUUAUAACAGUUAUAAUCUACAUGAUGAUGUUACGCUACAUGGAUACCUGUAGUAAUUCUAGAGCUAAUACAUGCCAAUUCCUCUCAGCAAUGGGAGGAGGGCUUAUUAGAUUCCCUUGUCAACCUGAGCAAUCAGUGUUCCUGGCAAGUCAUAAUAAUCUCUAGAUCGCAUGCUUAACGGCGGCGAUACAUCAUUCGAAUUUCUGCCCUAUCAGCUGUGAUGUUAGUGUAGUGUACUACCAUGGCCAAUACGGGUAACGGAGGAUUAGGGUCCGAUUCCGGAGAGGGAGCCUGAGAAACGGCUACCACUUCUAAGGAAGGCAGCAGGCGCGUAAAUUACCCAAUCUCGACACGAGGAGGUAGUGACAAGAAAUAACAAUACUGUGGUCUCUUCGGCCUCAGUAAUUGGAAUGAGUACAAAGCAAAAAUAUUAACAACGAACAAUUGGAGGGCAAGUCUGGUGCCAGCAGCCGCGGUAAUACCAGCUCCAAUAGUGUAUGCUAAAGUUGUUGCAGUUAAAAGGCUCGUAGUCAAGUUUUGAUUGCGCUGCACUCGGGACAUUUCCUUUUGGAGUGGCUUCGAUGUGCAGCAAUCAUUCUACCGGAUAGCUAUACUCUCCUUCACUGGGUGGUUGUGUGAACCGGUUCUUUUACUGUGAGACAAUCAGAGUGUUCAAAGCAGGCAAUAUGCUUGUAUGUUUUAGCAUGGAAUAAUAAGAUAAGAUUUUGGUUUCAUCUUGUUGACUAUGUAAAUCAAAGUAAUGACUAAUAGGGGUAAUUGGGGGUGUUAGAAUUUAGUGGCCAGCGGUGAAAUGCGUAGACCCACUAAAGACUAACUUAUGCGAAAGCAUUCACCAAGGAUACCUUCUUUGAUCAAGAACGAAAGUUGGGGGAUCGAAGACGAUCAGAUACCGUCGUAGUCUCAACUAUAAACUAUGCCAACUGGAAAUUGGC